rnacentral:rRNA from 1 species
GACGAACGCUGGCGGCGUGCCUAAUACAUGCAAGUAGAGCGCUGAAGGAGGAGCUUGCUUCUCCGGAUGAGUUGCGAACGGGUGAGUAACGCGUAGGUAACCUGCCUGGUAGCGGGGGAUAACUAUUGGAAACGAUAGCUAAUACCGCAUAACAGUAGAUGUUGCAUGACAUUUGCUUAAAAGGUGCAAUUGCAUCACUACCAGAUGGACCUGCGUUGUAUUAGCUAGUUGGUGAGGUAACGGCUCACCAAGGCGACGAUACAUAGCCGACCUGAGAGGGUGAUCGGCCACACUGGGACUGAGACACGGCCCAGACUCCUACGGGAGGCAGCAGUAGGGAAUCUUCGGCAAUGGACGGAAGUCUGACCGAGCAACGCCGCGUGAGUGAAGAAGGUUUUCGGAUCGUAAAGCUCUGUUGUAAGAGAAGAACGAGUGUGAGAGUGGAAAGUUCACACUGUGACGGUAUCUUACCAGAAAGGGACGGCUAACUACGUG